rnacentral:rRNA from 1 species
AUUGAACGCUGGCGGCAGGCCUAACACAUGCAAGUCGAACGAGUGGCGGACGGGUGAGUAAUGUCUGGGAAACUGCCUGAAGGAUGGGGAUAACUACUGGAUACGGUAGCUAAUACCGCAUACCAUCAGAUGUGCCCAGGUGGGAUGAGCGGGUGGGGGGGGUAACGGCUCACCAAGGCGACGAUCCCUAGCUGGUCUGAGAGGCUGACCAGCUACACUGGAAGUGAGACACGGUCCAGACUCCUACGGUAGGAAGCAGUGGGGAUGAUUGCACAAUGGGCGCGAGCCUGAUGAAGCAAUGCCGCGUGUAUGAAGAAGGCCUUCGGGUUGUAAAGUACUUACAGCGGGGAUGCGUUACCCGAUGAGAAAGCACCGGCUAACUCCGUGCCAGCAGCCGCGGUAAUUC